AAUAGCAGAGAUUAGUUGAAAGUACGUAAAAAAGUGUACCGGAAUCUACCAUUGCGCCACUGUGGCGGGCACCCCGAACUAUGACUACGUUGAAGCAGCGUAGGAGAGGUGCAUUCAAUCCACCUCUUCCACGUACUUUUGCAUUGAUAUGUUCGACCGAAUCGUUAUUGCAAAGGCCUGUUGCUAACUCAAAAUUUGAAAAAUCUAAUUUAAAAUCAUCAUAAAGACUAAGCAAAGC